GAAACAUCUUAGUACCCGGAGGAAGAGAAAGAAAAUUCGAUUCCCUUAGUAGCGGCGAGCGAAACGGGAAGAGCCCAAACCAACAAGCUUGCUUGUUGGGGUUGUAGGACACUCUAUACGGAGUUACAAAGGACGACAUUAGACGAAUCAUCUGGAAAGAUGAAUCAAAGAAGGUAAUAAUCCUGUAGUCGAAAAUGUUGUCUCUCUUGAGUGGAUCCUGAGUACGACGGAGCACGUGAAAUUCCGUCGGAAUCUGGGAGGACCAUCUCCUAAGGCUAAAUACUCUCUAGUGACCGAUAGUGAACCAGUACCGUGAGGGAAAGGUGAAAAGCACCCCGGAAGGGGAGUGAAAUAGAACCUGAAACCGUGUGCUUACAAGUAGUCAGAGCCCGUUAAUGGGUGAUGGCGUGCCUUUUGUAGAAUGAACCGGCGAGUUACGAUUUGAUGCAAGGUUAAGCAGUAAAUGUGGAGCCGUAGCGAAAGCGAGUCUGAAUAGGGCGUUUAGUAUUUGGUCGUAGACCCGAAACCAGGUGAUCUACCCUUGGUCAGGUUGAAGUUCAGGUAACACUGAAUGGAGGACCGAACCGACUUACGUUGAAAAGUGAGCGGAUGAACUGAGGGUAGCGGAGAAAUUCCAAUCGAACCUGGAGAUAGCUGGUUCUCUCCGAAAUAGCUUUAGGGCUAGCCUCAAGUGAUGAUUAUUGGAGGUAGAGCACU
rnacentral:rRNA from 1 species